UACGAAGGGGGCUAGCGUUGCUCGGAAUCACUGGGCGUAAAGGGUGCGUAGGCGGGUCUUUAAGUCAGGGGUGAAAUCCUGGAGCUCAACUCCAGAACUGCCUUUGAUACUGAAGAUCUUGAGUCCGGGAGAGGUGAGUGGAACUGCGAGUGUAGAGGUGAAAUUCGUAGAUAUUCGCAAGAACACCAGUGGCGAAGGCGGCUCACUGGCCCGGUACUGACGCUGAGGAGCGAAAGCAUGGGGAGCGAACAGG
rnacentral:rRNA from 1 species